AAAUGGCCGCAGUAUACUAACUGUGCAAAGGUAGCAUAAUAAUUAGUCUUUUAAUUGAAGGCUGGUAUGAAUGGUUGGACGAGAUAUUAACUGUUUCAUAAAAAUUUAUAAUAGAAUUUUAUUUUUUAGUCAAAAAGCUAAAAUUUAUUUAAAAGACGAGAAGACCCUAUAAAUCUUUAUAUUUAAAUUAGUAUAAUUUUGUAGAUAUUUUUUAUUAUAUUAAUUAAUAAUAUUUUAUUGGGGUGAUAUUAAAAUUUAAUAAACUUUUAAUUUUUAAAAUCAUUAAUUUAUGAAUAAUUGAUCCGUUAUUAACGAUUAAAAAAAUAAGUUACUUUAGGGAUAACAGCGUAAUUUUUUUGGAGAGUUCAUAUCGAUAAAAAAGAUUGCGACCUCGAUGUUGGAUUAAGAUAUAAUUUUAGGUGUAGCCGCUUAAAUUUUAAGUCUGUUCGACUUUUAAAUUCUUACAUGAUCUGAGUUCAAACCGGCGUAAGCCAGGUUGGUUUCUAUCUUUAAAAA
rnacentral:rRNA from 1 species